rnacentral:rRNA from 1 species
UACAGAGGUCUCAACCGUUGUUCGGAUUCAUUGGGCGUAAAGGGUGCGUAGGCGGUCGUGCAAGUCGGAUGUGAAAUCUCGGGGCUCAACCCCGAAACUGCAUUCGAUACUGCGUGGCUUGAGGACUGGAGAGGAGACUGGAAUUUACGGUGUAGCGGUGAAAUGCGUAGAUAUCGUAAGGAAGACCAGUGGCGAAGGCGGGUCUCUGGGCAGUUCCUGACGCUGAGGCACGAAGGUCAGGGGAGCAAACGGG